GUUCGACUUUUCGCCUUUCAUGGUUCUGAUCAUUGCAAUCCUUAAUGAUGGUACGAUCAUGACCAUCUCGAAAGACAGAGUGAAGCCAUCCCCGCUGCCCGACAGUUGGAAGCUAAAAGAGAUCUUUGCAACUGGUGUGGUGCUAGGUGGUUAUUUAGGAUUGAUGACAGUCAUUUUCUUCUGGGCCAUGAAAGAGACUGACUUCUUCUCGCACCAUUUCCAUGUAAGGUCGCUGAGGCUAAGCGAGGAUGAAAUGAUGGCUGCAUUGUACUUGCAAGUCAGCAUUGUGAGCCAGGCUCUGAUUUUUGUCACUCGAUCACGG
rnacentral:misc_RNA from 1 species